GUGGCGGGGUGUUGGCAGCCCCGUCCUGUCCCUGCUGCCGGCGGCCCGGGGGCAGGAGCGCCCCGGCGGUGCCAUGGCGGGGUUCCCCUCAGGUGUGGGCAGCCGCAGCCCGGCUGUGCGGGGCGGCCCCGGCGGUGCCAUGGCGGGUUCCCCUCAGGUGUGGGCAGCCGCAGCCCGGCUGUGCGGGGCGGCCCCGGCGGUGCCGUGGCGGGUUCCCCUCAGGGCGGCCCCGCUGCCCGCGCACGGCGGUGUUGCCGGGUUCCGGGCACGAUGAGGUGGGACCGGGGCGGGAAUAGUGAAUGCCGUCUUUUAUAUCGCCCCCUUCGUUCUUCCCUUGUGGAGUAUUUUUCUCUUUCGCCAGGGCUGUCUUGACUGAGGUUUGAUUUUUUCUGUCUCACGCUCUGUGUUCAUGGCAGCCGGGCCUACACGGCUUCACCCUGCUCACUGCAUUUUGUGGGUGAGGCAGCUCGUCUGCCUUUCCAACAAACUGUGCAGUUAUGAGGUCUGCAUGCGCACAGGAUAAAGAACUAAGUUGUUUACUGUGACAGCUGUGUUUUUCUGCAGCUCAGUUGGCAUAUAUCAGCUGUCUGAUAUAUGACACUGCACACACAGACCCUGAGGAUCCCUCCGCUGCCAGCCCUGCCGUGUGUCCCGGUUCUGCCACACUGUCACCGUGCUGUGUGUGCCUCCAGACCUUGGAGUGUAAGGGGAGGGGAGGCAGGUGUGAAAUACAGUGAAAAAAGAAGGAUGGAAAUAAGAGAGACCAGUUGCUUCCAGAUGCAGAACUCGGCUCUCUGUUAUGUAAGACUGUUUUCUUCUCCACCUCCACCCAAUGUCACUCUGUCAUGUGCACACUCUCCUUCUCUUCCCCAGACAGCUGGAUGCAUGAAGAACCUUUGAAAAAAAAGGAUUAGGGCAGGACAGCAUUUUAGGAACAUCUGUGGAAGCCAUCGCCAGCUAUCUCUUUGCUGAAGACAGGUGCUGGUUUUAACCAGCAUUUCAUUACAGCAGGUAUCAUUGGCCUCUCCAGUUCCACGUUUAAAACUGGAUUCUGUCUUCAGAAGUGCACGAAUUUCUCAGGUCAUCAGAGAGUUUGCUGCAAUCACCUGUCUGUGCUGCCAAGGCCACUGAAGUUAGCAGGGAAGCAACUGAGUCGUGUGCCAGCAUUCCUGCCUCUGACUGUCCACUGGGUGUGAUUCCAUGGCCAAGUGUGGGCACUGUGGACAGGCAGAGGAUGAGGAGGAUGACUUCACUGAGCCUGGCAGGAGCAUGGCAGAAUCUCUGACUGAUCUGGCAAUGGGACUUAAGUAACAGACUCGAGUCACUUCUCCAAAGAAGUGACCCUGCUCCAUCCAAACCUGCACUAAAAAUCCUGUGGGAAUGAGUUGUAUAAACUCAGGAGGCAAAGAAUGUUCUCUCCAAUGUUCCCCAAAGUGGGAAGCAGGCACACCUCUCUGGAAAUGGCACAGGAGGUACUUGGAAAGGGCAUGGGAGCAGCUCUAGGGUUGGAAGCAGCACACUUUGCCUGCCUGGUUCCUGCUUUUGGGGCUGGUAGGGACAGGAACCCAACGGCACAGUUCAUUUGUGGAGGGAGAGGGGGUUGAGCAAGAUAAUUAGGAAAUGCUGGCCUGGGCAAGUCUCUGGGGUAGUAACAAAGAGGAAACUCUCCUUUGCCCUUCACUUGGCACAGAACAGCUCUGCUGCCCUGACUCACUCCCUCAGGAUCGAUGACUGUUACAUUUUUUACCCCUGACUUCACUCCUGCAAGAACCCUUGAAACAGCAAAAUUAGCACAAUUCCAUGAUAUUUUGGGGCCUUCUACUCUUACUGAAGGAAAGAUCAUUGACUCAGCUCCCAGCUGGACUAGACUCUGAAGGCAUACUGGUAGGACAGAGCUUCUGUAGCACUUUCCUGUUUGAAACUCCUUAACCUGACUGAAUGCCAGACAGAAACUCCUUAUUUUUCUUGGCAUAAGUUGCCGGCUUAUAUUUAAAAGAACUAUUCUGGAGCUUGAAUUUUCAUUAUUUUUAAUAAACUUUUGGUUAAAUUGUUGCUAUUAAAUAAAGUGUUCAUCGUCUGGAAAAGACCUUUAACUGGCUGGGAAUAAUCCUGCUAGACAGUGUAUUUAUUUAUUUCAGUUUAAAUCUGUUGCUGCUAGGCUUUGGGUUUCUCUUCCAGGGAGGAGAGGUACAUAAAUAAAAAUUUUAUUCUGAACUAAUUGCCUUGUUCUGAAUUGCAUAAAACAUUUGAUCUUUUUCCCUAUAAAAUUUCAGGAUAGAAGGAUCAUUAACAUUAAAGAUAAUAUGAAAUAUUUGUUGAGCAUGAGAUGGAAGCUUCUCUUUGCAUGAUAUUUUCCUUUUCUUGUCUCACAGCUAAAAGUGGCCUGGGUAUGAUGAAGCAGCACUAUGGCCAUGAGUGGUGGUAAGUUUACCAAAUCCUAAGUCAUCAUGUGCCCAGACCGGCCCUAAAACCAACUUACACAGGUUACAACAGAGCCCUUUGUGUUGUGUCAGCUUGGCCUUGGACUUCCAAGUAGUUUGUACAUAUUUAAAACUGCCUUCCAGCUGUACUUCUGAAAAAAAAAAAAUACAGGGAUGUAAAGACUUGGUCUAUAAGGUUCUGGUCAUCAAAUUUGUUUAAACUUGUCAGUUUAUAAAAUUGACCUGUGAAAGAAAAAUCCUAUUCUGGUGAAGCUACUUCAAAAUAAAAAUAACUACAAAUGCUGCAGUUUUUACAGGCUUACACUCAGUAUUUUAUCAUGGCCAUACAACAAUUAUGGGGUGACUUGGGGCACAGGCAUGUGUUUCCUGACUGAUAAGAUUCCUCACCUCCCUCUCCUUCCACAAGUGCUGGUGUUGAGUUUGUCAUUGUAACGAUUACAAUGGCAAUCACACCAGCAAUUUCUCAAAGCAAAAUGUAGGCUCUAAGGAUUCAAAACAUGAAUUAGACUGGGUCCAAAGAGAGCCUUGGUCAGCCUGAAAACUAUUCCUGGAGUUCUGUGGUCUGUUUCUACACCUCUGUGUAUGGAGCACAUUUGGGACAGCAACACAGGAAAUAUGUAGCAGCAGAUGAUGCACACAGAAAACUUGCCAUUGUAGAGUUUGAGAGGUGAGGAAGUUUGUUGGCCAGUGGGUUGAUCAGUGAUCUUCUGCAAGCAGCAGCUCUUGGUUUCUUUUCCCUGCUUUGAAGUUGAGUAACUUGGUUACAUUUUGAAUUUCAGCCUUGUAAAGUGCUUUCAAACUUAACAGUCAGGUGUUAUUUGUGGUUGCAGCCAUUACAAGGCAGAGACUUGCCAGACACUUAGGAAAUUCCUAAUUCAAGUGAUAAAGGAAGGAAACUGGAAAAAAAAUACAGUUAAGCCAGAUCUAACUAAAACAAGUUACACACCAAGGAAAGGUGUGUUAGAGAAUUCCCUCUGGGAGGGGGCAAGGCUGGGAACCACGAGGUACAUCCAGGGCUGCAACAGAAAUGGACUGUUCAUGGCAAGUCACUCUGCCUGGUGGUGAGAACACACUUUCCAAAUGGAAGGGCUCUGUAAUUCUGUCAGGCAGAGUUCUGUGUGACCUGUAAUUAUGUCCCUAUGCUCUUCUAUUAAUUUACACUCCAGCUUUUCUUUGCUUGUAUUCAAGCAGACCCAUAUUAUGAUGCAAAUUUACCAGCACCACAAAGGCCAAGUUCCAAGUAAGUGUUCAUAAGUGAGUUUUUGUCAUACCUGUUCAAAUCACAAGUCAGGGGAAAAAGAAAGAAAAUGUGCAUUGAAACCAUUAAUUUAACAUGUUAGUACAGAUCUAGAUUCAUUAAUAAAAUACAAAGUUGCAGUUUUUCUGGGUGCAAACUUUACUUACCUUUAUGAGAGGUUUAUUUAUCCCUGUACUUCUCCUCCAGAACAGCUUCCCAUUGAGUAAAAUUCCCAGUAUAAGCACAGUUCUAAUAUGAAUCUGCUGUGGCCAGUAGGAGCUGUGUUUUGCCUCUAACACACUGAAGUUUCUAUGUAUAGACCACAUGGCUAAUUUCCAAAGAAAAUAAACACAAUAUUAGUCUUAA